rnacentral:tmRNA from 1 species
GUAGUUACAACGGCCCGGCAAAAGCCCUAUAUUAGGCCUGUCGGGCAACCGACUACGGCGCUACACGGGCAUGUGAAAUAAGCGCUGCGGACCCGGGGGCAGUACCCGGCGCCUCCACCAGUUUCGCCCUUCGUCCCGGCCCCGGUCGCCGGGACCGCGGAGGGCCUUCCAUGGGGGCGAACCAGGAUCGACGCGUGUGGUAAAGAUAUGUUCGGCGCUCGGCAUGGCACCACCGUUAUCGGGCCAACACUUUAGUUGCGAAUGACAACUUCAGUGAGGCUCGCCUUGCCGCUUAAUUGCGGCUGGCAAGCCAAGCCUUAAGCCCUCGGCCGUCACACGUCGUGGGGGGGUGCGGGGCGCCCCUGCAAACAGACGCCCCCCACU